rnacentral:snRNA from 1 species
UUCCACAGGAAUUUUACUAAAACUGGAAUGACAGAGAAGAUUAGCAUGGCCCCUGAGCAAGGAUAAUGCACAAAUCCGUGAAGCAGUCCGUAUUUUG